CCUACGGGUGGCAGCAGUAGGGAAUAUUGCUCAAUGGGGGAAACCCUGAAGCAGCAACGCCGCGUGGAGGAUGAAGGUUUUCGGAUUGUAAACUCCUUUUGUUAGAGAAGAUAAUGACGGUAUCUAACGAAUAAGCACCGGCGAACUCCGUGCCAGCCGCCGCGGUAAUACGGAGGGUGCAAGCGUUACUCGGAAUCACUGGGCGUAAAGAGCGCGUAGGCGGGAUAGCAAGUCAGAUGUGAAAUCCUAGGGCUUAACCAUAGAACUGCAUUUGAAACUGUUAUUCUAGAGUAUGGGAGAGGUAGGUGGAAUUCUUGGUGUAGGGGUAAAAUCCGUAGAGAUCAAGAGGAAUACUCAUUGCGAAGGCGACCUGCUAGAACAUAACUGACGCUGAUGCGCGAAAGCGUGGGGAGCAAACAGGAUUAGAUACCCCUGUAGUC
rnacentral:rRNA from 1 species